GAUGCUAAUACCGGAUAACAACAGAUGAUGCCUAUCAACUGUUUAAAAGAUGGUUCUGCUAUCACUCUUGGAUGGACCUGCGGUGCAUUAGCUAGUUGGUAGGGUAACGGCCUACCAAGGCGAUGAUGCAUAGCCGAGUUGAGAGACUGAUCGGCCACAUUGGGACUGAGACACCGGCCCAAACUCCUACGGGAGGCAGCAGUC
rnacentral:rRNA from 1 species